GAGAGGGGGCAGAUAUCAGUCAGAGAUGCUUCCAAUUGUUGGAAUCGCAUCGUCAGAGGGAACCAGGGUCGACAAGGGUCAGCGUAACCUCAUGAGAAGCAGCAGAAUAAUAAACCAGCAUGCAAGUUGGGACCAACAUGAUGGCAGUUUGCUGAUGCAAAGGAAGACCCCAUGAACCUGUCAACUCUCAUCCAUGAGCUGUCUACAACAGCCAUACCGUGUUAAAUCCUUCCGUCGCUGGGUAUGACAUGGUGAAAGUUAGCUGAGCUCGUGGAGUCCUGAGUCAGUCGGUCUGCUGAUAAAAUCACUUUCAGCCUGCAGUCACCAGAUAGCAGCUCACAGACCCGGUCCAAACACGGCAGGAGCGAGUA